GAUGAACGCUAGUUACAGGCUUAACACAUGCAAGUCGAGGGGUAACGAGAGGAAAGCUUGCUUUCCUUGUUGACGACCGGCGCACGGGUGAGUAACGCGUAUCCAACCUGCCCCCAACUAGGGAAUAACCUUGCGAAAGUAAGACUAAUACCCUAUAAUUUCCUCAGAUGUCAUCCGACGAGGGAUAAAGAUUUAUCGGUUGUGGAUGGGGAUGCGUCUGAUUAGCUUGUUGGCGGGGUAACGGCCCACCAAGGCAACGAUCAGUAGGGGUUCUGAGAGGAAGGUCCCCCACAUUGGAAAUGAGACACGGUCCAAACUCCUACGGGAGGCAGCAGUGAGGAAUAUUGGUCAAUGGGCGGAAGCCUGAACCAGCCAAGUAGCGUGCAGGAUGACGGCCCUAUGGGUUGUAAACUGCUUUUAUACAGGAAUAAAGUUAGCCACGUGUGGUUAUUUGUAGGUACUGUAUGAAUAAGGACCGGCUAAUUCCGUGCCAGCCGCCGCCGUAA
rnacentral:rRNA from 1 species